rnacentral:lncRNA from 1 species
AUGUGGGAUGGGGUGUUGCUGGCAGUGGCUUACCUUGUAGCACCACAACAUGAGCCCCUAGGGUCAAUUUUUUUUUUAAGAUUUAUUUUUUUUGAAAGGAAGAGUUACAGGCCGGCGCCGCGGCUCACUAGGCUAAUCCUCCGCCUAGCGGCGCCGGCACACCGGGUUCUAGUCCCGGUCGGGGCGCCGGAUUCUGUCCCGGUUGCCCCUCUUCCAGGCCAGCCCUCUGCUGUGGCCAGGGAGUGCAGUGGAGGAUGGCCCAGGUGCUUGGGCCCUGCACCCCAUGGGAGACCAGGAAAAGCACCUGGCUCCUGGCUCCUGCCAUCGGAUCAGCGCGGUGCACCGGCCGCAGCGCGCCGGCCGCGGCGGCCAUUGGAGGGUGAACCAACGGCAAAGGAAGACCUUUCUCUCUGUCUCUCUCUCUCACUGUCCACUCUGCCUGUCAAAAAAAAAAAAAAAAAAAAGAAAGGAAGAGUUACAGAGAGGAUGAAAGACAGUGAGAGAGAGAGAAAUAAAGAGAUAUGGUCAGCUUUUAAUAAGAUAAUUGACGGGAGUGGCUUCUCACAGAAAUACCAAGUACAGAAUGAAUAUUAUUAUUAUUAUUUUAAAGAUUUAUUUUAUUAUUUAUAUGAAAGUCAGAGUUACACAGAGAAAGGAGAGGCAGAGAGAGAGAGAGAGGUCUUCCAUCCGCUGGUUCACUCCCCAGUUGACCGCAAUGACCAGAGCUGCACCCAUCUGAAGCCAGGAGCCAGGAGCUUCUUCCAGGUCUCCCACGUGGAUGCAGGGGCCCAAGGACUUGGGCUACCUUCUACUGCUUUCCCAGGCCAUAGCAGAGAGCUGGAUCACAAGUGGAGCAGCUGGGACUUGAACCGGCGCUCAUGUGGGAGGCCUGUACUGUGGGUGAGGCUUUACCCACUAUGCCACAGCGCCAGGCUCAGUAUUAUGUUUUUGUUGUUGUUGUUGUUGUUGUUUGCUUUUAAAUGGGGGCCAGCACUGCGAUGUAGCGAGUUAGGCUGCCGAAUGCUCCUGGCUUCAGCCUGGCCCAGCCCUGGCCGUUGUGGCCAUCUGGGGAGUGAAUCAGUGGAUGGAAGACCUCUCUCUCUGUCUCUACCUCUCUGUAACUCUGUCUUUCAAAUAAAUAAAUAA